UACGUAGGCAGCGAGCGUUGUUCGGAGUUACUGGGCGUAAAGAGUGCGUAGGCGGUUUUCUAAGUUUGGUGUGAAAUCUCCCGGCUUAACUGGGAGGGUGCGCCGAAAACUGGAAGGCUUGAGUAUGGGAGAGGUAAGCGGAAUUCCUGGUGUAGCGGUGAAAUGCGUAGAUAUCAGGAGGAACACCUGCGGUGUAGACGGCUUACUGGACCAUAACUGACGCUGAGGCGCGAAAGCCAGGGGAGCGAACGGG
rnacentral:rRNA from 1 species